GGACCCGCACAAGCAGUGGAGUAUGUGGUUUAAUUCGAAGCAACGCGAAGAACCUUACCAAGGCUUGACAUAGUACUGAAGUUAGCGGAAACGUUAACGUCCUUCGGGACAGUAUUACAGGUGGUGCAUGGUUGUCGUCAGCUCGUGUCGUGAGAUGUUGGGUUAAGUCCCGCAACGAGCGCAACCCUUGUUGUUAGUUGCCAUCAGGUUAAGCUGGGCACUCUAAUGAAACUGCCGGUGACAAAUCGGAGGAAGGUGGGGACGACGUCAAAUCAUCAUGCCCCUUAUGUCUUGGGCUACACACGUACUACAAUGGCUAUUACAGCAGGCAGCGAAAGAGUAAUCUGGAGCAAAUCCAAAAAAAUAGUCUCAGUUCGGAUUGUGGGCUGCAACUCGCCCACAUGAAGUCGGAAUUGCUAGUAAUUGCAGGUCAGCAUACUGCAGUGAAUACGUUCCCGGGUCUU
rnacentral:rRNA from 1 species